UACAGAGGGUGCGAGCGUUAAUCGGAAUUACUGGGCGUAAAGCGUGCGCAGGCGGUUGUGUAAGACAGAUGUGAAAUCCCCGGGCUCAACCUGGGAACUGCAUUUGUGACUGCACAGCUGGAGUGCGGCAGAGGGGGAUGGAAUUCCGCGUGUAGCAGUGAAAUGCGUAGAUAUGCGGAGGAACACCGAUGGCGAAGGCAAUCCCCUGGGCCUGCACUGACGCUCAUGCACGAAAGCGUGGGGAGCAAACAGG
rnacentral:rRNA from 1 species